ACAAUUUGAGGUGAGCCUUCGAGUUGGUACCCUUACUGUUGGAUUUGCUAUUGAGAAGCUAGACAGAGUAUGCUCCAAGUACUUUGCUAAAAUAUUUGAAAGGCUUAGGACCUUUUUUCCUACUUAUAGGUCUUGUGUAUAGGCUACCACCAACCUACCCAAGUUUGCCAAGGAUAGGGUUUAAAGGUUUUCUUUACUUAGCAACCUACAAAAUGAGUUUUUCUAAGGUGUUGAGG
rnacentral:lncRNA from 1 species